GAUGAACGCUGGCGGCGUGCCUAAUACAUGCAAGUCGAGCGAACGGACGAGAAGCUUGCUUCUCUGAUGUUAGCGGCGGACGGGUGAGUAACACGUGGAUAACCUACCUAUAAUACUGGGAUAACUUCGGGAAACCGGAGCUAAUACCGGAUAAUAUUUUGAACCGCAUGGUUCAAAAGUGUAAGACGGUCUUGCUGUCACUUAUAUAUGGAUCCGCGCUGCAUUAGCUAGUUGGUAAGGUAACGGCUUACCAAGGCAACGAUGCAUAGCCGACCUGAGAGGGGGAUCGGCCACACUGGAACUGAGACACGGUCCAGACUACUACGGGAGGCAGCAGUAGGGAAUCUUCCGCAAUGGGAGAAAGCCUGACGGAGAAAAGUCGCGUGAGUGAUGAAGGGAUUCGGAUCGUAAAACUAUGUUAUUAGGGAAGAACAUAUGUGUAAGUAACUGUGCACAUCUUGACGGUACCUAAUCAGAAAGCCACGGCUAACUACGUG
rnacentral:rRNA from 1 species